GGGCACAUGGUGUAGUUGGUUAUCACAUCCGCUUAGCAUUUUACUAGCAUGUAUCGCGGCUGCGGGGGUGCUGGGUUCAAUUCCCAGUGUGUCCA